rnacentral:tRNA from 1 species
CAUUAGAUGGCUGAAAGUAAGUACUGGUCUCUUAAACCAUUUUAUAAUAAACUAACGUCUAUUUCUAAUG